UACGUAGGGGGCAAGCGUUGUCCGGAUUCAUUGGGCGUAAAGAGCGUGUAGGCGGCCAGGUAGGUCGGUUGUGAAAACUGGAGGCUCAACCUUCAGACGUCGACCGAAACCAUCUGGCUAGAGUCCGGGAGAGGAGAGUGGAAUUCCUGGUGUAGCGGUGAAAUGCGCAGAUAUCAGGAAGAACACCCGUGGCGAAAGCGGCUCUCUGGAACGGUACUGACGCUGAGGCACGAAGGCCAGGGGAGCAAACGGG
rnacentral:rRNA from 1 species